ensembl:lncRNA
GCGACGUUUGUCCUUAACAAGACUUAAUUAAGUAGCCUUUCGAUGGAUAUAUCACCAUUCUUCAAAGACCACAUGGAGUCGUUAACGGCAAACAAACAAACAGCCUUUUUCAAGGCUUCCAGCCUAUUUACAGGCAUCCCACCAGCCUUUUCCCCUUUCCCCUUUUUCUCGGGACUCCUCCCAACGGAUACAAGGUGAACAUGGCCCUUUCUCGUGCCCGGGAUGAAGUGCACUACCUGAAAAGGAAGGUGAGCGAACUCAGUGCUCACACUGAAACUGGGAGGUACAGUUUGACCAACCUGUUAAAAGGCAAAGAUCUUGCCUAUGAGCAGACAAGAACAGAAAUAAGUUUUCAGACCUCGUCAGGGAGAACAAGGGUUUGUCUCUGAAGCUCCACAGAGACCACCGAACAACUCGUUGUCAAAAAUGCUGAACCCACGGUCCAGCAGCAGGCCAACAACCAACGGUUGAAAGCAGAACACAAACUGCUAAAGAGCAAGACAGAGGCUCUGGCUGAGGUUAUCGGGGAAAAGUUUGUUUCUGAAGCUCUUUGAGUACGGCAAACAACUCUUCGUCAAAAGUGCUGAACUCACAGUCAACAAAGGGACCUGGCAGCAGAAGUUGGAGGAAAAGACAUUCAAGGAACUGUAUUACCAACAACAGUCCAGUAAGUAACAGGGUUACUCUCCACCAAUAUUUCUCUUCAAGAGGAGCUGCACAAGCAGCAGGCCAACAACCACCAGUUGGUAGAAGAAAACAAACUGCUAAAGAUCAAGACAGAGGCUCUGGAUGAGACUAUCAGGGAGAACGAGGGUUUAUCUCUGAAGCUCACCGAGACCACAAAACAACUUUCUGUCAAAAGUGCUGAACUCAGGGUGAACAACGAGACCUGGCAGCAGUUGGAAGCAGAAAACAAACUGCUGAAGACCCAGAGGGAUUCUCUGGCUGCUUUAAAAAAGAGCCAAGAGGAGACCCACCACGAGAUGGUCACUAGCACUGAGUUGUGCCUGAUCUCUAAGAUCCAACAAACGGAGGAUACCAUUCCCAAAGAACAUCAGAUCCUUAUCACCAGGAUCCAAGAAUUAGAGGACGACAAAACAGUCCUUGAAAACAUCUGCCUGUACUUAAAAAAACGGACCGGCAGACGGAGAUGGACAAAAUGAGGCGCAAGAUGCAGGACAAGGAGACAAAGAAAUAGGAGAGAGAAAAGAAGAAAAAGGAGACCAUCCAGGACGUCAACAUCAACGUGCCUGAGACUGGACACAACAGUGGGAAGCAGAACACAAACUGCUGGAGACCCAGAGGGGAGUCUCUAGCUGCUUAAAAAAAGAGCCAAGAGGAUACCCACCACGAGAUGGUCACAAGCAGUGGUUUCACUGAGUUGUGCCUGAUCGCUAAGAUCCAACAAACGGAGGAUACCAUCCCCAAAGAACAUCAGAUCCUUAUCAGCAGGAUCCAAGAAUUAGAGGACAACAAAACAGUCCUUGAAAACAUCUGC